AGAGUCUGAUCAUGGCUCAGGACGAACGCUGGCGGCGUGCUUAACACAUGCAAGUCGAGCGGAAAGGCCCUUUCGGGGGUACUCGAGCGGCGAACGGGUGAGUAACACGUGAGUAAUCUGCCCUUCACUUGGGGAUAACCUCCGGAAACGGUGGCUAAUACCCGAUACGACCAGCCUACGCAUGUGGUGUUGGUGGAAAGUUUUUUCGGUGGGGGAUGUGCUCGCGGCCUAUCAGCUUGUUGGUGGGGUAAUGGCCUACCAAGGCUUCGACGGGUAGCCGGCCUGAGAGGGUGACCGGCCACACUGGGACUGAGACACGGCCCAGACUCCUACGGGAGGCAGCAGUGGGGAAUAUUGGACAAUGGGCGGAAGCCUGAUCCAGCAACGCCGCGUGAGGGAUGACGGCCUUCGGGUUGUAAACCUCUUUCACCUGUGACGAAGCCUUGUUCUUUUGGGUGGGGUGACGGUAGCGGGAGAAGAAGCACCGGCCAACUACGUGCCAGCAGCGGCGGUAAUAC
rnacentral:rRNA from 1 species